rnacentral:rRNA from 1 species
GAUGAACGCUAGCUACAGGCUUAACACAUGCAAGUCGAGGGGCAUCAGGAAGAAAGCUUGCUUUCUUUGCUGGCGACCGGCGCACGGGUGAGUAACACGUAUCCAACCUGCCCUUUACUCGGGGAUAGCCUUUCGAAAGAAAGAUUAAUAUCCGAUAGCAUAUAUUUCCCGCAUGGGUUUUAUAUUAAAGAAAUUCGGUAUGAGAUGGGGAUGCGUUCCAUUAGUUUGUUGGCGGGGUAACGGCCACCAAGACUACGAUGGAUAGGGGUUCUGAGAGGAAGGUCCCCCACAUUGGAACUGAGACACGGUCCAAACUACCUACGGGAGGCAGCAGUGAGGAAUAUUGGUCAAUGGACGCGAGUCUGAACCAGCCAAGUAGCGUGAAGGAUGACUGCCCUAUGGGUUGUAAACUUCUUUAUAUGGGAAUAAAUUGUCCACGUGUGGAUUUUUGUAUGUACCAUAUGAAUAAGGAUCGGCUAACUCCGUGCCAGCCGCCGCCGUAAC